rnacentral:rRNA from 1 species
UGCAAGUCGAGCGGACAGAUGGGAGCUUGCUCCCUGAUGUUAGCGGCGGACGGGUGAGUAACACGUGGGUAACCUGCCUGUAAGACUGGGAUAACUCCGGGAAACCGGGGCUAAUACCGGAUGGUUGUUUGAACCGCAUGGUUCAAACAUAAAAGGUGGCUUCGGCUACCACUUACAGAUGGACCCGCGGCGCAUUAGCUAGUUGGUGAGGUAACGGCUCACCAAGGCAACGAUGCGUAGCCGACCUGAGAGGGUGAUCGGCCACACUGGGACUGAGACACGGCCCAGACUCCUACGGGAGGCAGCAGUAGGGAAUCUUCCGCAAUGGACGAAAGUCUGACGGAGCAACGCCGCGUGAGUGAUGAAGGUUUUCGGAUCGUAAAGCUCUGUUGUUAGGGAAGAACAAGUACCGUUCGAAUAGGGCGGUACCUUGACGGUACCUAACCAGAAAGCCACGGCUAACUACGUGCCAGCAGCCGCGGUAAUACGUAGGUGGCAAGCGUUGUCCGGAAUUAUUGGGCGUAAAGGGCUCGCAGGCGGUUUCUUAAGUCUGAUGUGAAAGCCCCCGGCUCAACCGGGGAGGGUCAUUGGAAACUGGGGAACUUGAGUGCAGAAGAGGAGAGUGGAAUUCCACGUGUAGCGGUGAAAUGCGUAGAGAUGUGGAGGAACACCAGUGGCGAAGGCGACUCUCUGGUCUGUAACUGACGCUGAGGAGCGAAAGCGUGGGGAGCGAACAGGAUUAGAUACCCUGGUAGUCCACGCCGUAAACGAUGAGUGCUAAGUGUUAGGGGGUUUCCGCCCCUUAGUGCUGCAGCUAACGCAUUAAGCACUCCGCCUGGGGAGUACGGUCGCAAGACUGAAACUCAAAGGGAUUUGACGGGGGCCCGCACAAUCGGUGGAGCAUGUGGUUAAUUCGAAGCAACGCGAAAAUCUUACCAGGUCUUGACAUCCUCUGACAUUCUAUAGAUAGGACGUCCCCUUCGGGGGCAGAUCGACUUGUGG